rnacentral:rRNA from 1 species
CGAACAGGGAUCAAGCCCAGCACCGAAUCCCGCGGUCGGAGACGGCCGCCGGGAAAUGUGGUGUUCGGGAGGGUCCGAUUAUCCCGGCGAAGCGCGGCGAGUCCAAGUCCUUCUUGAAUGGGGCCACUUACCCGUAGAGGGUGCCAGGCCCGUAGCGACCGCCGAGCCCGCCGGGAGGAUCUCUCCUCAGAGUCGGGUUGCUUGAGAGUGCAGCUCUAAGUGGGUGGUAAACUCCAUCUAAGGCUAAAUAUGACCACGAGACCGAUAGCGAACAAGUACCGUGAGGGAAAGUUGAAAAGAACUUUGAAGAGAGAGUUCAACAGUACGUGAAACCGUCCAGGGGUAAACCUGAGAAACCCGAAAGGUCGACGGGGGAGAUUCAACUGCCUCGUCGCAGGCGGCGUCGUGUGCACGGCGAGGCGGCGGUUCGACGUGGCUCCGGCCGCGCGCGUUCCCGCCGCUCCUGUCGCGCGCCGUCCGCCCGCGAAGGCAUGCACUUCUCCCCCUGUAGGACGUCGCGACCCGUUGGGUGCCGGACUAAGGCCCGCGGUGGCAGACCGCUCGCGUUCGCGCGAGCGAACCCGCGGUGCAUCCUGUCCGGCCGCCCGACGGUAUUUUACAGUGGCACGGGGCCGCCCGCUAUUCAGGGCGUCCGGCCCGCUGCGAGUUGCUGCGCGGGUUGAAACCCGGUCGCCGGACCUGGUCCGAGGCCGGGCCCGCGCCGCUGCCGGCGGCGGUGUCCCCGGACAGACCCCGGAACCGGUGCCUGCGAAGGUGCCGCGUGCCGGUCAGCGACGCUUUAGCUUUGGGUACUUUCAGGACCCGUCUUGAAACACGGACCAAGGAGUCUAGCAUGUGCGCGAGUCAUUGGGACAGCACUAAGCCUAAAGGCGUAAUGAAAGUGAAGGUGCGGCCGCCUGCGUUUCGGCGCACGGCGAGCCGGCUUAGGGAGGACGGGUCGCGCACAUCGGAGCGAUCCGUGUACCGCGGCCCUGCACUCCCGGCGCGUCUCGUGCUCACAGCGAGCUGAGGCGCAGCCAGAGCGUACACGCUGGGACCCGAAAGA